UGGAGCGCCGCGCUUCUUCCCGCCGGCCGCGCCCGCUGCUCCUCAACCCCGAACCCUUGUUUGGUCCUCGUCCUCCCAGCACCGAAACCGCUAUCUUCAUCUUCUAUCCCCUCAUCGCCACAUUCCUAUUCCCCUGCUCGUAACAGCCCCUGAACUCUUUCUUCAUUUUCCCUUUGCCUUAUCACCUAAACCUUUUCAUCUCCUUUCCUUUCAUCCCCUAUUCCCAUUCUUCAGCCCCUAAACUUCUCACCUCUCUCCCUGUCACCUUUCCUUAUUAUCCCCCAUCCCCACCCCUCUCCCUUCAUCUUCUAAAGCACCCUCUUCAUCCACAUCCCCUAUCUCUUCAUCCCUAUCAUAAUCCCCUUACCCCUCUCAGUUCCUGAGCCUCUUCUUCCCCAUCUCCUUCUCAUCCCCUAUUCCCAACCCUCUCCCUUCACCCCCUCACUCCCUCAGUCUUUUUAUCCCCACUUUCUUCUCAUCCCCUUUCCACCCUUUUCCCCUCACCCCCUCAGCCUCCCUCUUCAACACCUCUCUUUUUCUCCCCAUUCUCAGUCUUCUCCUCUCAUUCCCUAAUUCCAUCAUUGUCACCCCUCUUCCUUCUCCUUUCAACGCUUUAUCCUUUUUUCCUUUCCUUUCCCCCAAUUUCUAAUCCUCCUUUCUCAUCCCUAUCUCUGUUUCUUUCUCUUUACCUUUAUUUUUCUUUCUCCCUUAUUCCCCUUCACAUUCCCUAACCCCUCCCCUAAUUCAUCCACUCCAUCCUUCUCUUCUCAUUCUCAUAUUCCCCUCUUCAUUCUUUCAUUCUGUAACCCCCCCUUCAUUCCCCAUCCCUUUUCCCCAUCUCCCUAAUCUAUGCCUCUUUCUUUAUUUCCUUCCUCACCCUCAUUGCUCUUCCCUCAACUAAUUCUCUUCCUUAUCUUUCAAGCCCCAUUCCUCUCUUGAUUCCCGAAUCCUUUUUCCUCACCUCCAUCCUCAUCCCUCUCCCUUCAUUUUUUAAUUCCCUUCCUCUUAUCCCUCUUCUCAUCCCUGCCUUUCUCCCUUCAUUCCCUAAUCCCCCUUCUUAUCCCCUCAUUCUCUAAACCUCUUUCCUCAUCUCCCUAUCCCUCUCCCCUUAUUCCUUUAUCCCCUUUCUCCUCAACACCUAUACUUAUCCUUAACCAUUCUUCAAUCCCCCCAUCAUUACCUCAUCCCUCUCCCCUCAUUCUUUUAUUCCCUUUCCCUUCAUUCCCCCUCAUAUUCCCAUCUUCUCAUCUCCCUUUAUUCAUCUCCUUAUCCCUUUCCCUUUCCUCCUACUCUUUUACUCUUCCCCGCCUCCCUUUCCCCCAAUCCCUCCAGCCACAGUUCCUGCCUGGAAGGGAAAAGCUGAUUUUCUGUGCCAGGCAAUGCUUGAACAAAGCCCAGACCUAGAGCAUUUGCACCAGCAACCACGGCAGAGAUAGGAGACAGCAGCCGCUGCUGCCUCGUGCCCCAUGCUUGUGCUUUCCCUCCCUUCUCUAGGUUAGCAUCAGGCAGCUGUAUGGCAGGAAGAUGGCAGAGGACAACCAAAGGGUGGAUUAUUUGGCUGGGUUUUGCUGCCCAGUUGGGGGUCUGGCUGCAGGCAAACCCCGGGUGCUGUGCCAUGAGUCAGAAAUCUACCUCUCCAAUGGGAGUGAAUUCGUCUAUAUCUACAACCAAGAGGGAAAGCUGCUAAAUGCUGUAUAUAGGUUUCCUGAUCAAGUCUGGCAUCUGGAGCUCCUCGCCUUACGUAGGGAGCUAUAUGUCCUGUGUGCUCGAAAUGGCAUUUACUGUUUGUCAUUGGACCCUCAAAGCAGGUUGGUGAACCAGACUGAUGGCGAGGACAAAGAAGGUGAUUUCCCUUCAAGUGUGUUUCCUGUGGAUUCAGACUCCUGUGUGUUCCCUGAUGCUACUCUGUGUGCUUUCACGGUGCUGAAUGACAUCAUCAUCACCCUGGCUCAGGGCCCAUCCAAGUGGAGGAUGAGACUGUUUGAGCAGCCCCAAGGCUCAGAUGGGGACCCCAGGCCAGAGAGCCAGUUCAGUGAGGUGGAGUUCUCUACCUGCAUUUUGCCAUCAGGGAGCAAUGGGAAACCCCUGGCCUCUCGCUUUCUCCCAGUCUUGUGCUGUGCAUCCCCUCCAGGCAGCAGUGUUUCUCACACACCUUGGUGUAGUUCUGGAGGUUUUGUGCUAGAGGAGACCCUCUUUGGUUUGCUGUUUGGAGCAGAUGCUGCCCUUCUGGAGUCUCCCAUGAUCCUCUGUGGUUUUCCAGAUGGUCAGCUGUGCUGUGUGCCUUUGAAGGCUCUGUUAUCUCCUGAGAUGGCUCUUGCUGGUCCAGAAACCCCUGUCAAGAUACUUCACCACUUGGAAGAGCCUGUGGUCUUCAUUGGAGCUCUGAGAACAGACCCAAGGAUCCUAGAAGACAUGGAUGAGAAACCAUUAAAUGAAGAUACAAGCUGUGACUGUAUGGUAGCUGUUGGUCACUAUGGCAAAAUGAUGGCCAUUAAGUCUAGUCGAGAAGAAGGAGGAAACUUGGUGCCAGAACUCAGAGAAUACUAUAUUAGGGGACCUAUCCUCUGUGCUGCCUGUGGUGUGGGAAGCCGCAUGUAUUACAGCACCCAUUCUGAUCUUUCUGUGGUUGACCUGGCUUGUAACAGCAACUCUUCAGACUCUGAGAAGAUAGAUAAUGCCCAGGGAGUGCUACCUCCAGUUCUGUCUCCAGCCAGUUUAAGUAUCUGUAGCGUUGUGACUCUUUCUGUAUCUUCUAGGGCACCUAAAGGUGAAGCAGAGCUAUUGGCUUUAUCUGCCAAGGGCCGACUGAUGACCUGCAGCCUGGAUCUGAGUUCUGAGGAUUCUCGACCAGUAAGAAUGACUACAGGAAAAGUGGGUCAAAAAAUUAAGGAAUUACUCUCUGGAAUUGGCAACGUCUCAGAGAGAGUGUCUUUCCUAAAGAAGGCAGUUGAUCAGCGGAACCGUGCCCUGACGUGCCUCAAUGAAGCCAUGAAUGUGAGCUGUGCCCUUCUGUCUAAUCGAGAAGGACCAAAGCCCAUUAGUUGUACUACCACCACUGCCUGGAGUCGCUUUCAACUCCGGGAUGUACUGACAGCCACUUGUUUGCUUGAGAAUAGUAGUGACUACAGUCUAGACCAAGGGUGGACUUUUUGCAUUCAAGUGUUUACUAGUUCCUGUGCCUUAGAAGUGGACUCUGUUGGCCCUGCCAUCACUUACACCAUUCCAGUUGAUCAGCUCACUCCUGGCAGUAAAAGGGAAGUGACAUUACCACUUGGCUCCAAUGAAAAUGGCAAAUUAGAUCUACCUGUGACCAUAUCCUGUGCACUAUUUUAUAGCCUGAAAGAGAUUCUAGGCAGUGCUUUAACCUCUUCAGAUUCUCUGGAUGCCCCUUUUUUUGAUGAUUGCCCCCCUGACAUCCUACCUGACCGAGAUGGUAUCUUCUUGCCCCUGGGUGAAUACACUGUGGACAUGCUGCAGUGCCUUCGUUUUCCUAGCCUUGCAGUGGCUGAAGUGCAAGUUCCAGGCCUUCCCAGCCCUACCAGUGACCCUGUGAAAACCUUUUUAGAAGCCUCCAAAGGGCAAGUAGACCCUGAACAUAUGAAGAACAUUGAGCCAAUGGGACCAGACUUCCUUAGAGCCAAGUACCUUCCACCAUCUGUGGCCUCAGUCAAGGUGUCAUCUGAGUUGCUUAAAAAUGCCCUGAAGGAAUAUUGUUCAGAAGUCCCCCUGUGUUGUGCUACUCUCCAAUGGCUUUUGGCUGAGAAUUCCAUAGUGGACAUAGUGAAGACACAGGUGCUGACAGAAGUCCAGGGGGUGGCCCCAGAUGGAAACGACAUCCACCUCCUCGUUCGAGAGGUGGCUGUGACUGAGCUGUGCCCUGCAGGGCCCAUCCAGGCUGUAGAAAUCCAGAUGGAGAGCCCCUCUCUGGCUAACAUGUGCAGGGUGCAUCAUGCAGUGAUCAGACGCAUCCAGGUAAUGAUCAUGGAACAGGCUGCUCAGGGCUCUAACCCUCCUGAUCUCCGUGUGCAGUAUCUUCGUCAGAUCCAUGCCAAUCAUGAGAUGCUACUCAAGGAGGUACAGUUGCUGAGAGAUCGUCUGUGUGUUGAGGAUGAUGCCAGCGCCAGUGCUGCUGCAGAGAAACUCCUCCAAGUCUACAAGCAGCUGCGCAACCCAAGCCUCAUCCUGCUGUGAUCCUUGGCACUGGUAGGGCACCUCACACCAGAGGCUCCCCUCUUCUUAUGGAAAAGAGCUCUGCCCCUAUCCUGGGUUCCUCUAGAGAAGUUCUUUUAAGCAGCUCUGACAUCUCACCUCUUGACUGCUAGAAAAUCUUCCAUAUGAUCCCAAAGAGUGGGAUUGAAGAUAUCCUCUCCGUUGAGAAGCCAAGCAGUGUGCAGUAAUAGAGGCUAUGAAAAUCUUCUGACAACCCCUCUGGGUGGGGUCGUCUUAAGCCUGAUGAGGGCCCUUUCAUGCCAGAGAAAGGUUUUGAGGGGUGGAUCUGUUUUUAACUUUUUUGAUAUUAUACAACACCAGAGAGUCAGCUACCCUGUCCUGAAAAGGAACAUCUAACCCUGCCUAGAGCAGAAUUCAUCCCCAUUCCCACUCCCACUUCCCAUUCCCUACCCAUUUGCUUUCCCUUUGGGUAAUUGAGGCUGAAGAGUGUUGAGUGUUUCUGUCAUUCUUAGGAUAACUGCCCCAUGCAUGAAUGGUUCUUGAGCCUUGUAUCCAUGGCAUGAUGAGAAUAGGUGACGUAUCUUUUGUGUGUUGCCUGUGAGUGCUAGUUUAGCUUCUGAUGUUCAUAGCUCAGCAGUGACUUUGUAUUUCACAGUGGAAAGAACCUGUCAUUUCAACCCACGUUCAUAGUUCCCUGUAACAGUGGCCAGAAUACUAAAUAAUUCCAUAUUUAGUGAUGUAGAAACUUAGGUCUCUAGCACUGAGUCAUUUUUCUGGGGAUUCUCUAGGGGUAGUGCUCUGGACAAAUGAGUGACUGCCUAUCUCCCCUGCCUCUCCUAUUCUUUCUCACUAUUAGCCUCAGGCAGAGAUACCUGCCUACUGUUUUCCCUAACCCUACACACUUCCAGGGUCCCAAGUGUGGGAUAGGUUUUUGUAUUUUAUUUAAUUAAUUACAUAAAAUAGAAAGGAAAAAUGGGAGGGGAAAAACCUUACCUGCAUUUUUUGCAUUUUUCUCUAGUGGUGGUUUCAGUUGGAUUCAUUUCCUUCCUGUUUAAAGUGCCAUCUUUAACAAGAAAAUUGCUGUGGCUGUUAACCCACGAUCUGUCAUGAGAAUGAUUCUUUUCCAUUGAGUUUCUUCAGAUCUUCCUUGCCUUUCUAUCCUGCUCUUCCCUUUCCCCCACACUCCCAUUGCAAUAUUUGAUAUUUGGCAGCUCAACUUGAAUUUCCACUUUCCACCCUCCUUCCUUUUCUCUUAGGCUUCCCCUUGAGUUCUAUGUACCUCACAAUUAAAGUAGUGGCUGCCUGAAAAGUUACCACUCUGCAUGAAUAAUUGAGCCCCUUUGCUCUGUUCUCAGUGGCCCAAGGGGCCAUUAGGGAAGUCUCUAGCACUUAAAGGAUGAAACCUAGGCAGAGGAAGCAAUCACUCCAGUGCCCUCAUUGUAUUGUGCAUUUCAUGUCCAUAAACAUAAAUCUUGAUGUUGAACUACUUGCCUCCCAAAGUAUCUAAUCCCUGGGGUCCAAGCAGGUUAAUGUAACAUUCUUCCCUGUAUCCCACAACUCUGAAAGUGUUGGGGGAACAGAAAGGUUGUAGAGUAGUCUAUACUCCUGGAUCAGAAAGGCCUGGUACCACAGCACAGACUGGGGCAAGAAGCUUCUCUUAUUUUGGCUGAUUUGUACAAGAGAGAGGGCUCUCUUUCUCAUCAACCUCCCAGAUCAGGCUCUCCUUCAGAAGCUUUUUGUGCCCCAAAAAUGUUUUUGGGGGGUCUGUGAGUAGAUACCCUUACUGUUCCCAGUUAUUUAUGUGUUGGUUUAGCAUUACAGGGGAAGGGGAAGAAGAAAGCUGGUCCAAUUAGAAAGAGACAGGAGUCAUCAUUCUGACACAGAUGAAAUUACAGAAUAGCCUGGGCUUUCUGAUAACUCCCUCAUCCCCAUGUUUGCUUUGGAGACUGCAGCUAGCAAAGUAGGAUUUCCCACCAGCAAAAAGAGCCCUCCCCAUUUAUGCAUACUCACCAUGCCAGCUUUGGCUAUUAUGCCCAUUUGUAUUUGAGCCAUGGAAAGGUUCUGUCCCCCCCUCCAAGAUUUUAUAACCACAAGGACCUUGAAUUUUCUCAACCCAUUUCCACUCUGCAUCUGGGUCAGGCUUUUUUUUCUUGAGGGCUUCCUCUAUGUUGACUCAGGUCUCCUGACUAACCACACAUUUAAUCCUUCUUGUUUGGCCAUAUCAGAAAUUUUGCUAACACAUAUUGGUUCUUAAAUCUUUUUAAUAUUGUAGACUCCAUUGAAAUUGUGAAGAAGCCUAUGGAUCCCUUCUCAAAUUGUGUUUAAAUGCACAAAAUAAAAUACAUAAAAAUUAAGGGAAAUUGAUCAAUUGAAGUAGCUUAUAAAAAGUUUAAGAAACAAGUUCAUGAAUCUCGGGUCAAUAAACUUAGCUAUAGAGAGAGGAGCAAGGAGCAGCCAGGGAGAAUACCAGAAAAAACCAAGAAUCCAAAGCAGUAUAGGUACCUUAAAUGGAAUAGCUGACUAAAAAAACCUCCAAGGGCCUUGGGCAUCUUACAUCUAAAAAGAUUAAAUUUUAGGGGACUACAGUUGAAUUUGUCUGUGAGAGUUAUCCACCCCAUUGCCUUUGGUCUCUUCAUAAUGUGAAUCUAUUUGCCGAUUCAGGCAGUUUUGAAUCCCAGGGCUGACAAAUCUAGGUCUCUGGGUCUUUUCAAUCACCCUGCAGGGCUAACCUAAUUGGAUUUCAGCCAACUGCCAGGCAGAUCGGCACUCAAGAGCCUGAGGAGAGACAAGUUACAUGGAGCUUCCUAAGAUAUAAUUUGCUGGUGCCUACUGUAUGUAAAGUGUUCUGUGUCCUUACAAAUGGGCUCUGCUCUUGUUAGCUGCAGUAGCACACUCCCUUAUCGAUUGCCCAUCAGCAAACUUGCACUGCUAAUGAAAUACUCAACACUAUGCAGGAGGCAGAAAUGAGGGGGAAGACAAUAGGAUGUGUGAAUAAUCUUAAGUAUUACUCUCUAACCAGAGCAAGGUCCAUAGGGCGAUAUCCAGCCAGUCCCCAGUAAUUGCCAGACAUCCUUGGUUUGAGAAGUGGGAAGAGCUUCCCCAGGAUGCAGCUACACACAAUGAAUGAGGCAGGAAGUGAUUUUUCCCUAAAGCAAGAAGUGGAUCACAGAUGGGAACUAGGUGGACUCCCUCUGAGCAGAGAAGGAGUCGGUCUCCCAACUUCAUGGGCAUUCUAGCCUCACUACAAUCUGAUUCUCCUGCUGAGCUGGAAUUGGGAGCUUGCUUGCCAGCUGUUGACCAACUGCUGUAGCAGAAUUUGUGUCCAAAGACAAAUGAGUUAAGAAUGAUUUGGGACUCCCUUACCUCUUAGGGGGCUGCUAGGGAAACCUGAGUUCAAGUCCUACUUCUGAUGUAUGCUGACUUGAUGGCUUUUAGCAAGUUACUUAAACUCACUGCUCCAGGCAACUUUCUUAAGAUUCCCAAGUUAUAGAGAAGGUGUUGACCUGCACUACACUACAAGAAUUAACUUACCUGAUAAUUGCCUUUAUUCACAGAAGUCACAGAUCCAUUUCUAAUUAUUAUAUAUGUACUUCCAUGUACUAAUACUUAUGUUUGUUAUAAAACUUAUGCAAAAAAGUAGAUAUUUUAAAAAGAUGAGAUGCAAAUGAAAUAUUUAAUCUUAGAGUCAAUAGGGAGCCAUUGGAAUUUGAAGAAAGAAGUGAGUCUUAACCCUAGCGUUAGGAAAACCAUUGGUAGCUGUGGAACAGACUGAAAAAGGGAAAAACUAAGCAGGAAGAUGGUUUAGGAAACGAUUGCAAAAGUCCAAAUAAGAGGUGAUGGAGGGAUGGGGUGGCGCUGAACUAGAGUGGAGAUGGGGGAAUGAGAGGGGAAAGUCUGUGAAGAAGAUGGAGAUGGAAAUAACUUCUGAUCAGUUGUUGGUAUACGUAGAUGAGGGAAAGUGAAGUUGAUAACAUCUAGGUUUUGAAUCUGGAUGACUGCAAAGUUGUCCCCUACUGAAGUAAGAGAUUCGGAAGACGGGUGGUUUGGGAGCAAGAUGAUACAAUGAAAUCUAUGAUGCAGUUUGCUUUGUAGUAUGUAAAACUAUUUUGUCCCAUUGAAAAUGAAAGGGCUGGGGAAAGAAGGUCUUCAGAAGGAGCCUAGCAGCUAAGAGUGCAGCCAUGAGAUAAUCAAAGAAACAGAAUCCUCAGAGAAUGGGGGUGGGGAAGUUUUCCUUUGCAUACUUUGGGCUCAGUACCUGAAGUACUGAAGUACCUGAAAGGCCAAUGUCAGGGGAACUAGUAAUGUAGAAGAGAGAAAUGUUGAGUGAUGGUGUGUAAUAAAGGGGGUGCUGUGCAUAUGUCCCAUGAUUGGCUAUCACUGGCAGGGCUAUUCAUCUACCCACAUAGUAAUUACCAUACAAUUUCUGAAGUCGUGCCGCAAAGCCCACUUUGAAACUUUAGAACCCAGUUUUUUUAACUCGUUUUGACUCCAUAUGGGGUCUUUUAACUGAAUGUGGGGGUCAUGAAGUUAUUCAUCAGUAAAUGUUUGAUUUGUGUAUCUCUUAUAUAUAUAAUAUCUGGGAACACAAAAAGUCUUCAGACGAAAAGGGAUUGUGACUGGAAAAAGUUUAAGAAACCCUGCUUUAGAAGACAGAAAUCCAAAGUGGCUGCAAGGAGUAUCAUUAAGGGACUGAUGAUGCUUGAGUCCCAUCAGUACCACCACAGUGUAUGUGCUUUUCAUCAAUGCCCAUCCAAUGGAGAAAAUUUGUUGGCCUUUAAAGGGGAAGAAAGCUCUAGGAUGAAUAAUCCCUUUGUGUUUGAGCCUCUUAAUAGUCUGAGUUAUAUUCCAUAGCCAUUUCUGCCUUCCCUUCUCACCUUCUACACCAAAAAAUUCUCCCAUAAAAUCUUAUUUUAAAUUUCAUGGACAAUUACAAGUAUUCAAAAAUGUAAUAGGGCAAAUGAAAUUUUCAACACACUCAAAUGUUUGCAAAUGGGAAGAUAACAAAUGUCCUAUUUGUUUCCAUGUUUUCAUUAAGAUAUUGUCUUAAUUUUUGUUGUUCUGCUUUCUUCACUCUGCCAUCAUUUCUUCAUGAUGUCAUCAUGUGUCUUCUCAUUUCUAUUAAUUUAUCCAGACAUGUGGAGACCUUCUAGUAUAGCAAUUCCUUUUACAGAUGCAGAUCAACUCAUUAACAAUUUAGAAUCAUAAGCUCAUUAGACCUAGGCACUAUAUAUGGUACAUGAAAAGUAAACUAGAUUCCAACCAAGGAAUCUGGGUUCAAUAUCUAGCUCUGAUGCCACCUGCCCAGUUUUGAGCAAGACAUUUAAUCUCUAGGUUUCAUAACUGGAUAACUUCUGAGGUUCCUUUCACAUAAAGAUGUGAUCCUAUGACUUUAGGUCCUGAACUAUACAAAACACAUUCCUCAACAAUCUUGUUGGGUAUGUAGUGCUUAUCAUACCCAUAAAUUCUUAGAGCUAGAAGCCAUGGUAGAAGUCAUUUUCCAUGCAGACCCUCUUCUCAGCAUUCCAGCUUUGGAAGGUGGGCUGUGUAUUAACCUAUUGAAAAUAUUCUGAGAGUCUUAACUACAGCUCAGAGCCUCACCCAUGCAUUUAUCUCUUAAUAGUUAACCAAUAGACACAAUUAGCUCAAAAUAAUCAUUUACUAAGAUAAUAUCUUAAUAAUAAACAUUUCUGCCAUUAACCUGAGGCAAGCUUUCUCACAGCUACUUCAAAGAUAGUGGAAUGAGAAGGUACACACAGAGGACAUUAAUAGAAAAAUACAUAUAGCAUGUUUCAGAUCCUUAGGAGAAGAUAUAUACUUUCUCUUCCAGAGUGGGACAUCUCUGCUGGGCAAGUCAUUCCUUUGGGUCUGCUCCUUGAUGUUGUAGUGUUUCCUAAUGGCCAUAUAGCUUAAAGAAAUCAUCCUACCAAGCCUUUUCAAGAGUUGGUUUCUUCCAGUCAGCUCUUUUCUCUCCAGCCAGAACUCACAUUUCUGUUUCUGCCUAUAUUCAACAUCCUUGCCAGGUUUCCCCAGCAAAUCUGUCUUGCUGGGGAGUAUGGUCAGACCAAAGCUUUGGUCAGCUAAUGGGUGGAUUCCUUCAUUCCAUCAAAUUUGACUGAAAAACAUUUUUAUACACCAUAGAGACAAUUGUAUGAAUACUUUGCAUUUCAUUUAAGACCUAGGUUGCUUGAUGUCUCUUAACUUGCUCUGCUCCUUCUGUGAUUUUGUCAACUGAGCUGGAGAGAGAAAUCAUUUGAUCAAGAAUGCUCUGAUCAGUUCCUCCCCCCCCCCCCAUGAGAAUCAAGUUUACAAUGUAUCAGGCACUGAAUGAAUGCUGAGGAUAGAAAGAAAAAGCAAAAACAGCCCCCUGACCUCAAGGACCUUAUUCCAAACUAUAUACAGAUGAAUGGAGGCCCAUCAAAUAGUUUUUCUAAAGUCAUAUACAUAGUAAAGUAGCAGAGCUAUUUUUUAUAGACGAGAAACUUUUUAUAGACUUUAUAAAUGAGAAACUUGUGGAUUUGGUUUUUAGAGAGAUCCUGAACCAUUUGGCAGCAAGUUUCUUGAGUCAAGUAAAUCUGACCAGGAUAGAUGAUUAGGAAAUAAACUAAUUUUUUUGUGUAUUGAUGUGAAUAAAAUAAGAAAAAGUAGUUUAGUGGAAGCAAAAUAUAUUAACUCGGAGGUCUGAUAUCCAUGAUAUAUAGAGAAUUAUCACAAAUAUAUGAUCAAAAACUUCAGCAGUGUGGACAGAGGACAUUCAGAUACUAGGCUAAUAUUCCUGUCCAUCUCCUCACCUCAUAAUGCCUUAGUAUCAUCCUCCAUUCUCUUCAGUCUAAUCUAAGAAAAAGUAACCUUUUCCUUUCUAGCACCUUCUGCAUGAAGCUGUGAUCCCUUUCCUUCCUAUGUUCAGCAGAUUAUCCUCUUUUUCCCAAUCUUUAAUCUUUAUAAAACUCCUGGAUUCUUCCUUGCUACCUACAAACAUAUCCAAGUAUUUCCCAUUUUUAACUCUCAUUAGCUCUACCAUUUCCUGAAGCUAUUCUCCAUCUUGACUUCAUUUCUCAGCCAAGCUUCCUGAAAAAAUUGCUUAUAUGCAUUGCCCCUACUUCUUUUACUCCUCACUUUAUCACACAACUGAAACUGCUGCUGCCUUUAAAAUUACCAAAAUUACUAAUCUCUUAAUCACCUUUGCCCUUAACUUUCUUGAGCUUUAUGGUAUAUGACCCUGUAUACAUACAUACAUAGCCUCUUUUCUCUAGAAAUUAAAAAAAAGAUUGUAUCCAGGCCAGAUAUACUAUUCCAGAUUAUAUAUCAAGAGCAGAGCAUAGGACUUCUUAUCUCCUUUAUUCUGGACAGUGUUUCUGUUAGUGUAGCUUUUAACUUAAUCAUGUUAAUUCUUUUGGGCUUCAUUGUCACACUGUUGAUUAAACUUUUGUAGACCAUUAAGCCAGAUCUUUCUUUCACAAAAACUUAUCUAUCUAGAAACUAUCCCACCUCCCAUCUCUUGCACUCCACACACCUUUUUAUUUCCAACUUCCUAAAGAUCCAUUAUUUAAAAAAAAAAAAAAAAAAAAAAAAAAGCAAACCUCUAAGGUUUGCAGGAUUUUUACAAAUAUCUCAUUUUAUCCUCACAAUAAACCUAGGAGGUAGGUAUUAUUUUUAUCCCUAUUUUAUACUUGAGGAAAUCGAGGCAGAUAGAUUUAAAUGACUUUCCCAGGGUUGCACAAAUCUGAAGCAGGAUUUGAGACUUCCCGACUACAGAUUGUCCUCUGUCCACUACACAAAUUCAUGAGAACACAAUUCAAUUUCUCAAAUCUUACCCAAAACUUAGGCACUUACGCACUCUUCAUCUGCCCGUCUAGCUGCCUCUGCCACAUCUCUUCCUUUUGUCAGGCAGGAGAUGCCUGACUUCAAAUUUCUUGAUCUUGUUACCUACUAGCUCCCAGAUCAAUCUCCUUAUUUUUUCUAAGAGUUCAGGACCUGAAUUAUGAUCUCUAUCCCUUUCAAAUGCUGCCUUGCCAUGUGUCAAUGUUCCCUCAAACAUCUUUGUCUCCCUGGAUCUUAACCUAUUCCACUCUUAUGACCCAUUUUUUCCCCUCUACCCCAGCUAAAUACAAUGAAUGGUCACAACCCUUCAUCUUGCCAUCACCCAUUCCUCUAUCUGAUCAUAGCAUCCUAUCAUUCCAUUUCUUCCCAUUCCUCUCUUUAAACUUAUUCUUUGUCCAAGAUUUCCAAUCUUGCUACUCCUCAGUGCUUUCCCAAACCAUCAUCUCUUUUUGGCUUUAUUUUCCUGUUAACUAGUUCAAUUCAAUAUUAUCCUCUGUUUUUGAAUCCCUUGUUCCCUUGUGCUUGAAACUCCAAUUCAGGAUUUCUCUCAUCAUCUUUUAUUUCUAUUCAAGUACUGCUGAACAGAGCUGGAAAAAGUUACUCCUUUGUUCUGAUUGGGCCUUCACUUUUUCUAGCACUCCAGUCCUGCAUCACAAAUUAACUGUUGGACCCAUUGGACAUUUCAAGUUGGUAUUUACAAUUCUAUAUGUACAUGACACAUACAUGACAGAACUCAUCUUUCUCCUCCAAUCUAACUCUUUCCCUCUAUUUCUCUUGAAGGUACCACCAUCCUUCUAAUCAUCUAAGUUCAGAAUUUAGAUGCCAUUCUCACUAGCACUGCAUAUAUCCAAUCAGCCCCAGUUUUGACAUGUUUCUACAUCUCUCCAUUCACAUAGCCAACCAGCCUAAUUCAGGUCUUCAUCAUUCUUACCUGACCUAUUGUAAAGGUCUCCUCAUUGGUCUCCUCACCUCAAGUCUUUCCUUUCUCUAAUUCAUCCUCCAUGCACAUGCAUAAGUAAUUUUUCAAAGCACAGAUCUGGCCAUGUCAAUUCCCACUCAGGAAAUUCCAGUGGCUUCCAAUUACCUCUAGGAUCAGAUAUAAAGUUCUGCAUUUGGCAUUUAAAGUCCUUUGCAACCUAACCACAUCAUACCUUUUCAUCUUUAUUAUACUUUGCUUCCCUUCCCAUAUACUGGUCCAAGCAAACUGGGCUCUCUUCCUCAUACAUAGCCUUUCAUUCCCAUCUCUGUACCUUUGUACUCACUGCCAUAUGUUAAUGUUCCCUUAAACACCUGGAAUCUCUUCCUUAUUUCAACCCCUUGGAAUCCCUGUUUUCCUUUAAGGCUAGGAUCAAGAAUUGCCCACAUAGCCUUUCCUGAUCCCCUGUAGCAUCCUUCUCCCCCACCUCUCCCAAAAAAAUACACUUAGGGAGGAAGGGAAAGGAGUAAGCAUUUAUAUAACACCAAUUAUGUGCCAGGCACUGAACUAAGGGAUUUAUAAGAAUCUUAUUUGAUAGUCACAAAAUCCUUUGAGAUGGACACUAUUAUUAACCGCAUUUUACAACUGAGGAAACUGAAGCAAUAGGUUAACUGACUUGUCCAGGUGACUCAAAUGUCCCAAGCUGGAUUUGAACUUGAGUUUUCUUGACUCCAAGCCUGGCACUCUACUUACUGGGCCAUUUAGCUGCCCUCUACCAUUAUUAAAAUGUGGACUAAAACAUCAUUUACUCUACUCCCUUCUGAUUCUUAUGUUUAUCUGGCUAGCUGAUUUUGCUCCUGAAAAAUGCACAUUCAAUGCCCUUUCACAUAUGGCUCCAACCCAUCUUUUCACUUGUCUAUGAGUAUUGUUGCUAAACAUUAGAAAAAACAGUUGUGGGGAAUUUCAGAUUGACUUCAGGUGCCCUAUCUUGAGUGAGGGAGUGGUCAGGCCCUUUCCUCUGGAGAGAUUGGGAAGGAAUGUAGUUCAGUAGAGAUAUACCAUAGUAAUAGGCCCCAAAUACAGAGUGGUGGGAGAACCCGAGAUGAGACAGGUGGUUGCCUUGUUGGGGGAAGACCAGGUCUCUUCCUAUGUCAAUGUCCUCGGGCAAAAUUCUCUUUGUCCCAAGCUUUUUCAUCUAAAAUGCCCUACAUUCCAGCCAAACUAGACAACUCUCCAUUCCUGGGAUGGGCUCCUUUGAUUCCCCAAUCCUUUACCUUUAUUUAUGCCGUUCCUUCCACCUAUAAUUUUUUUCCAUCUCCCCUGACAAAAUCCCACCCUUUAGGCCCAUCUCAAAGGCCAACUCCUUUGUGAAACCACUCCUUAGUUCCCUUGGUCAGAAGUAUUCUCAUUCGCAUUUUACGUUUCUUGUGGAAUUUAUAGAUACUUUUAUCUAGGGUUAGAGAUGUAUUUGUUUUACCCUAUCUCUUAGAAUGCAGAGCAAGAGAGAAAACUGGAGGCAGCCAAUGUCACGAGUGUUGCUGUAGGGGUGGGUGUGUGUGAGUGGGUUCCUAUAAUCCCUGAGUGCCAGGUGUCCUGGCUAGCCGCUCCCUCAUUACCCCCAUUAUCAUGGCCAUCCUCUUCCACCAAAGUCACCUUCCCUACACUGCAGCCUGCCUGGCACAAGCACUGCCACCAUGUGGGGAUCCUCUACAAAGGCAGUGCACAACUGUCACUCAGCUUCAGCCCUCCCCAGCUUCUAUCUAGAGCCAGAGGGGCACAAUGCAAUUUGAACCUGAGUUCAAAUCCUAGCUCUGAGACUUAUUAGCUGUGUGAUCUUGAACAAACUACUCAGUGGCUCCAAACUUCCGAGGGUAUUUGUGAGACUAUUUCAGCUGAAAGUCAAAUGGAAAAGCUCUGUGUAACUUAGAGUGCAAUGGAAAAGCAGAUGGUAAUGCAGCUUCCAUUAAUUUCCAUUAAUAAAUCCUUAUUGGGUUCUAAUGUUGAA